UGGGGAAUUUUGGACAAUGGGGGCAACCCUGAUCCAGCGAUGCCGCGUGUGUGAAGAAGGCCUUCGGGUUGUAAAGCACUUUAGUUGGGGAGGAGAGGAUGCAUGUGAAUAAUAUGCGUCUGAGACGUAACCCAAAGAAUAAGCACCGGCAAACUCUGUGCCAGCAGCCGCGGUAAUACAGAGGGUGCAAGCGUUAAUCGGAGUGAUUGGGCGUAAAGGGCGCGUAGGCGGUUAACUAAGUUAGUUGUGAAAUACCAGAGCUUAACUUUGGGGAGUCAACUAAGACUGGGGAACUAGAGUACAGUAGAGGGGAGUGGAAUUUCCGGAGUAGCGGUGAAAUGCGUAGAUACCGGAAGGAACACCAGAGGCGAAGGCGACUCUCUGGGCUGUAACUGACGCUGAGGCGCGAAAGCGUGGGUAGCAAACAGG
rnacentral:rRNA from 1 species